AGGGAAGGGAAGAAAAAGAAAAGAAAGAAAAAAAGACACUGCUACUUCAACAGCUAAGACUCUCAUCACCACCCAGGUUCUUUUCCAACCUCUCUCUCCUGGGCCAAUCUGAGCAUGGCCUCACCCAGGCGAAUGUAUCCUUCAAGGCGAGCAAUUAACCAAACUGGCUCAAGCAAUUGAGAAGAACUGUGAUUGCCAAGAAAAGAUCUCUCCCCUUUUAUACUCUGUGUCAUGUAUUUCUCUUGUAUUUGAUGUGAUUUUCAUGGGCAUUUCUAUAAUUUCAGCUGCACCACACCAACCAGAUACAUUUCACCCUCCUGACCAUCGCUCUCCUGGAAAUGUUCUUCCUUUGGCUUCCAUGACACCAACCCCACAAAUCUGCUUUUCCUUCUAGUGUGCUGGCUACUGCUUUUCAAGUGGAGGGGAAACUGGCUUUUUUAGAUCUUGGGGAUACUGUGUAUAAAGAUAUACACUAAAGAUCUGAUUAUGAAAGAUUUGGCAGAGGGAGCCUAAUUUGAACCAGCUGCUGGACUCUUGCUGCACAGCACUUGGUUAGGACCCAAUGCCAAAAGGCCCCCCUUUUGUGGGAGGCCAGAUGAGCUCAUGCAAAGGCGUUUGAGCAGCUUUUGCCCAGUACUGGGACUUGAACUCAGGACUUUGCACUUGUGAUUGUCAGGUGUCAUUUUGCUUAUCUGUUGGCCAUGUGCAGUUACGGAAGACCGCAGUCUAAAGGACUGAACACUUGCAGCAUACAUGGAAGACAGCAUUUUGGUUAUGAAUGCCAGCUCUUGUAUCAGCAGUCUAUAAGAUGAGUGGCUUUGCUCUACCAUAUGCUUCCCACCAUGAGUGUCUGCCUCACCACAGGACCAAAAACAAUGGAGCCAACCAUGGACUGAAACCUCUGAAACUAUGA